rnacentral:rRNA from 1 species
CGGACGGGUGAGUAACGCGUGGGUAACCUGCCUCAUACAGGGGGAUAACAGUUGGAAACGGCUGCUAAUACCGCAUAAGCGCACAGUACCGCAUGGUACGGUGUGAAAAACUCCGGUGGUAUGAGAUGGACCCGCGUCUGAUUAGCUGGUUGGUGAGGUAACGGCUCACCAAGGCGACGAUCAGUAGCCGGCUUGAGAGAGUGAACGGCCACAUUGGGACUGAGACACGGCCCAA